GGAGAGGGCUUUGGCUCAGUGUUAAGAGCAUCUGCAUGCAGAAGACUGCAGGUUCAAUCCCUGGGCUCUCCA